rnacentral:rRNA from 1 species
AGCAGCCGCGGUAAUUCCAGCUCCAAUAGCGUAUAUUAAAGUUGUUGCAGUUAAAAAGCUCGUAGUUGAAUUUCGGGGUUAGUAGGUUGGUCAUGCCUCUGGUAUGUACUGGUCUCACUGAUUCCUCCUUCCUGAUGAACCUUAAUGCCAUUAAUUUGGUGUUUUGGGGAAUUUGGACUGUUACUUUGAAAAAAUUUAGAGUGUUUAAAGCAAGCUAACGCUUGAAUACAUUAGCAUGGAAUAAUGAAAUAGGACGUUCGAUCCUAUUUUGUUGGUUUCUAGGAUUGACGUAAUGAUUAAUAGGGAUAGUUGGGGGCAUUAGUAUUCAAUUGUCAGAGGUGAAAUUCUUGGAUUUAUUGAAGACUAACUACUGCGAAAGCAUUUGCCAAGGAUGUUUCAUUAAUCAAGAACGAAAGUUAGGGGAUCGAAGACGAUCAGAUACCGUCGUAGUCUUAACCAUAAACUAUGCCGACUAGGGAUCGGAUGAUGUUAAUUUUUAAUGACUCAUUCGGCGCCUUAC